UUUAUGUGAUACUACAGCUCUCCUAGAAGCUGCCCGGAAAAUGGUGAAGUUCCUUGUUAGGCAGAAAGAAGCUGGCGUGUGGACUGGUCUUCACCUAGGCACAAGGAGAGUGGCUGAUUCUGCGUACCUUUUGAAUCCUCUCCAGCGUUUUGUCUUUUUUAUUAGUUGAUGUAAAGACCUGAUGCCUGACAUAAUUCCCAGAACCAGAGCAAGAUGGGUAUCAACCUUCACCGUGUUGACUAAAGUACUCCGCUUCAUCCAUGUCUCUUGACCAGCGUGGAAAGAAACCAAAACGGUUCAAGGAAAGAUGAUGUCAAUAAGAUCCAAAUAGGCUAAUCCUCCGCUGUGGAAUUGCAGUGGAUGCCCCUUCUACUUCUCUCCUGGUGGGAAACUUGCUUGUCUUUAAUGGAUACUGCUGGUGCUGGUUGAUCUUUGGAGACUCCGCAGCUCCGUGUUUUUGAGAGGAGGCAGCUGCUU